rnacentral:rRNA from 1 species
CCUACGGGUGACAGCAGUGGGGAAUAUUGGGCAAUGGGCGCAAGCCUGACCCAGCAACGCCGCGUGAAGGAAGAAGGCUUUCGGGUUGUAAACUUCUUUUGUCAGGGACGAAGAAAGAGACGGUACCUGCCGAAUAAGCCACGGCUAACUACGUGCCAGCAGCCGCGGUAAUCCGUCGGUGGCAGGCGUUAUCCGGAUUUACUGGGUGUAAAGGGCGUGUAGGCGGGGAAGCAAGUCAGAUGUGAAAACCACGGGCGCAACCUGUGGCCUGCAUUUGAAACUGUUUGUCUUGAGUGCUGGAGAGGCAAUCGGAAUUCCGAGUGUAGCGGUGAAAUGCGUAGAUAUACGGAGGAACACCAGUGGCGAAGGCGGAUUGCUGGACAGUAACUGACGCUGAGGCGCGAAAGCGUGGGGAGCAAACAGGAUUAGAUACCCCUGUAGUC